UUUAGAUAGAGGUGCGUUCUUUAUCAGUAGCAUUUGCCGUCUCGUAUGACUAAGCGGUUGGGCAGUGUGAAAGGAAAGAUCGCCGAAGCGCUGUGUUGUCGGCAGCAGCUGGGCGUAAGGUUAACAGCCUUGCGACUGUCACCGUUUUUUCGGUGUUGAGCUAUCG
rnacentral:ncRNA from 1 species